CACACCGCCCGUNACACCAUGGGGAGUUGAUUGCACCAGAAGUAGGUAGCCUAACCGCAAGGAGGGCCGCUUACCACGGUGUGGUCAAUGACUGGGGUG
rnacentral:rRNA from 1 species